CAAGGGGGGGAUUUAGGUUACCGAUGCCCCUCUUGCCCUUUCCUGGAACAAUCUACAGUUGCUAUUAAUGAGCUGCCACCCUUAGCUCGAGAGGCUACACAGCAAUACAAAUGAAAGAUAUUGGGACAGAGGAGCUUUGGCGGCAGGUGGAUGGGGAAAUCUCAGCCUAGGGAAUCAACAACUGCAUUCCAGCAGGACAAAGCACUUUCUGAAAUUCCUAAAGAGCAUUUCUGGAUUCAUAUCAGAGAGCGAAGGGAGCCUUACUCCAGUUGCCACCGAGUUGGAGGAGGCAGCCAACACCGCCGACGCGUCUCCUGAUCUCACAGAUACA